AGCAGCCGCGGUAAUUCCAGCUCCAAUAGCGUAUAUUAAAGUUGUUGCAGUUAAAAAGCUCGUAGUUGAAUUUCGGGGUUAGCAGGUCGGUCGUGCCAUUGGUAUGAACUGGUCUCGCUGAUCCCUCCCUCUUGACGAACUGUGAUGCCAUUAAUUUGGUGUCGCAGGGAAUCAGGACUGUUACUUUGAAAAAAUUAGAGUGUUUAAAGCAGGCUCACGCUUGAAUACAUUAGCAUGGAAUAAUGAAAUAGGACGUUUGAUCCUAUUUUGUUGGCUUCUAGGAUUGACGUAAUGAUUAAUAGGGAUAGUUGGGGGCAUUAGUAUUCAAUUGUCAGAGGUGAAAUUCUUGGAUUUAUUGAAGACUAACUACUGCGAAAGCAUUUGCCAAGGAUGUUUUCAUUAAUCAAGAACGAAAGUUAGGGGAUCGAAGACGAUCAGAUACCGUCGUAGUCUUAACCAUAAACUAUGCCGACUAGGGAUCGGAUGAUGUUAAUUUUUAAUGA
rnacentral:rRNA from 1 species